GGCUCAGAUUGAACGCUGGCGGCAUGCUUUACACAUGCAAGUCGAACGGUAACAGGCCUUCGGGCGCUGACGAGUGGCGAACGGGUGAGUAACGCAUCGGAACGUGCCCAGUCGUGGGGGAUAACGCAGCGAAAGCUGUGCUAAUACCGCAUACGAUCUGCGGAUGAAAGCGGGGGACCUUAGGGCCUCGCGCGAUUGGAGCGGCCGAUGUCAGAUUAGGUAGUUGGUGGGGUAAAGGCCCACCAAGCCAACGAUCUGUAGCUGGUCUGAGAGGACGACCAGCCACACUGGGACUGAGACACGGCCCAGACUCCUACGGGAGGCAGCAGUGGGGAAUAUUGGACAAUGGGCGCAAGCCUGAUCCAGCCAUGCCGCGUGCAGGAAGAAGCAUCUAUGGUGUGUAAACUGCUUUUGUACGGGAAGAAACACUCCUUCGUGAAGGAGCUUGACGGUACCGUAAGAAUAAGGAUCGGCUAACUCCGUG
rnacentral:rRNA from 1 species